CGGUGUACUAUCGACCUGAUGGCCGCUUCAGCACGCGUUUUUGGAUCCGUUGCUCCUCUUCAUCUCUCUCCUAAUUUCCCCAAGCCGUGCGUCUUCCCCGCGAGCUCAUCGCCUCUGGCACGCCAAAUCCUUCCCCCUUCGCGCGCCAAAUCUCUCCCCCUUCGCGCGCCAAACUCCUCUCCAUCUCCUUCCCAUGCGGCACCCUCACACCAAAUCCUCAUGUUUAUUUCUCUUUGGCACACAGACUAUCCGUCUCUCAGCCUCCCCAAAACCUAGCAUACCUGUUCUUCAAAUCUCCCCAAGUGAUAUGAGCCACCUGUCCAAGAGGGAGGUUGCUCCUCCUACGCCUCAGACUUCGGCAGCUGGAUUUCCUUGGCCUGGUGCUGUCCUAUCGUCUGCUGGAGCCAUGGCCGCACCUACAGGUUGGUGGAGUGCAGCUCGGCCAAUGAACAGCUCAUUUAUUUCCCCAUAUGGAGCUUGGAUGGGUGCAUCACCCACACUAGAUGGCUACAACAAUCAGGGCAUGGCUACAAAUUUGUCAGAAAGUCCACCUGGUGGUCUUCUAAAUUUUCUCCACAAUGGCAUGAAUUCAUUCCCAGCAACACAGUCUGAUCCAAUCACUCAGCACAGUACGCCGGGUUCUCAAGUUAAAAAUGCCAUUAGCAUUGAUGAUGUGGAUGAUGUUGGGACAGAGAAACGCCUUUCAUGUACACCAGAUGAAGAUGUGCGAUUGGUAAGCGCUUGGUUAUUUCAUUCCAAUGACCCAAUUAAUGGCAAUGGCAAGAAAAAUGAUCAAUAUUGGGGAGAUGUGCAUUCAGAUUACAACAGCACUACACCUUCUAAUAGGAAAAGGAAAAUUAAGCAUCUCAGAGAUAGGUUCCAAAAGAUUAAGAGAUGGGUUGGUUUUUUCUGCAGCUCGUGGAAUAAGGCUACCUCAAUUUAUGUAAGUGGUCAAUCGGACGACCAGUUGAGAGAGAAGGCACUGCAAUUUUAUUUGGAUGACUACCCAAAAGAAGGUCCAUUCACUGCUAUGCACUGCUGAAAGAUUAUGAAGGAUGAACCCAAGUGGCUUGCAAUUCUGGAGCAACAUGAGAAUCCGAACAAAAGAAAGUUGGAUGAUGAGCUAGGGACAUAGCAGAAAAGCCUGAAGCUAUUAUUGAAAAGGAACGUCCGAUUGGAACGAAAGAAGCCAAGAAACAACGUUGUGGCAAAGGCAAGAUCAAGGCUGAGGACAUUGGAUUAGGUGAAGAUAUGAAAAAGUAUAUGGACAUUCAAGCUGCAGCUAGCAAACGACAUGAAGAUUUUUUAGUGACCCAACAACGUGUUUCUGAUGCAAAGGUUGAGGCAGCAAAGCUUACAAAUGAGGCCGCAAAGCUUAGGAAGGAGGCAGCCUUGCUGGAAUCAUACAAAGCUUUGAUGAGCAUGGACACUAGUGUCACGGAUGAGGAGAUGAAAGUUGAGCACAUGCUAGGCUUGAAGACCUUGCGUGAGAAGAUUAUUGGCAGCACUGAUUGAGGUACCUGCAUUACAUAUAUUACAUAUAUUUACUCUCAUUAAUUUGUGGGUUACUCUAGAAAUAUUAGUUGUUCAAAUCCAAAUUGUCAUCUAACAGUCAACGUGCACAAUAAAUGUAGUUAAUACAGUCAUGCAGUCCACAAAUCUUAUAUUACAGAUAACUAGGAGUCCAACUUUCACUUCCAAAAAAAUUAAUCCCAAUUCAAAAUUUUAUGCAAACAACAUCUAUAUAUUGCCCCCUUCUUCAGUUGCAGUUAAUACAGUCAUGCAGUCCACAAAUUCUGCAUUACAGAUAACUAGGAGUCAACUUUCACUUCCAAAAAAAUUAAUCCCAAUUCGAAAUUUUCUGCAAGCAGCAUCUAUAUAUUGCCCCCUUCAACUAUAUAUGUAAGUUGUAGCUCCUUCCUUUGUUUCUUGAAUCCUUCCUCUAUCUACCCAUCCUAGAAAAAUGUCUGAUGAGUCUGAUGACUCCAUAGACCCAGCUGAGAUAUACACUGUAGAAGAAUACAUGGCUGAGCAAAAUAUCCUUAACUCUUUUGCUGGGCGUAUGGAAGCGAAGAUCAAGGCCAGAUUAGAUGCUGGUCCAUCUAGUCGUCGACGUGGUUCAAGAAGGUACAUCGACAGGGAUCUUCAAGCUGCUCAUAACCAACUCUGGAAUGAUUAUUUUGCUGAAGUUCCUGUCUACUCAGAUGCAAUGUUCCGUAGGAGAUUUAGGAUGAGAAGGCAUGUGUUUUUACGCAUAGUGGAUGCCUUAGGUAGUUGGUCUUCCUACUUUACUCUAAGGAAAGAUUUUACUGAAAAGCAAGGGCUCUCACCAUUGCAAAAGUGCACAGCAGCAAUCCGUAAGCUUGCGUAUGGUACUGCAGCUGACACACUAGAUGAGUACUUGAAGGUUGCAGAGAGGACUGCAUUGGAUUGUUAAAUUUUGUGGAAGGGGUGAUCGAGGUAUUUGGUGACAGGUACCUACGAGGCUACGACGCCCCACAGCUGAGGAUAUUGAGUGUUUGCUCAAAGAGGGAGAGUCUCGUGGAUUCCCAGGAAUGUUAGGUAGUAUUGACUGUAUGCACUGGAGAUCGGAAAAUUGCCCAACAGCAUGGAAGGGGCAAUUUACCAAUGGUCACCAUGGAGUCCCAACAGUCAUACUUGAAGCGGUAGCUUUAUAUAACCUCCAUAUUUGGCAUGCAUUCUUUGGCGUUGCUGAGUCCAACAACGACAUCAAUGUGCUCAAUCAGUCUCCUUUAUUUUUGGAAGCAAUAAAAGGUGAAGCUCCCCAAGUUCAGUUUUCUAUCAAUGGUACACAGUACAAUACUGGAUAUUAUCUUGCAGAAGGAAUUUACCCAGAAUGGACUGCCUUUGUGAAGUCUAUAAGGGCACCUCAACUAGAGAAGCACAAGCUAUAUGCAAUGCAGCAAGAAGCUAAAAGGAAAGAUGUGGAGCGUGCUUUUGGAGUGUUGCAAUCUCGCUUCAACAUUGUGCGCCGUCCAGCACGUUCAUGGAGUAUGAAGAUCCUUAGAAAAAUCAUGAAAGCUUGUGUUAUUCUCCAUAACAUGAUAGUAGAAGAUGAGGGAGAAAUGGCUGAGGAGCCCAUUGAAUCUGAAUGCUGCACCAGGCUCAUCAAUUGUCCUUCCACCGGAAGUGCAAAAAGCUACUAACAGCAAUCCAUGUUUCAAUGACAUUCGAUGUAGAAACGCUGCUAUUCGUGCUCACUCAGUUCAUACCCAACAGAAAAAUGACUUGAUUGAGCACAUUUGGCAGUGUAAUGGCAAUAGGGGGGAUAAUUAAUCAAAAUUCUCAUAGUCUUAUCAUGAAAUGAUACUGAUUGCUGGUAUCAUACUUCAUGGAGGCAUUCUGGUGCAUUUGGAGGAUGUGAUGGUGUCAUUGGCUGGUGUUUCUUCUCCAAAAAGCCUUUUCUGUUUGUUGUUUGGAAUAAAUGUAAUUCAUCUUCCCAGAGUUGUGAGCUGGGGAACUUAUUUAGCCUUUGAUUUAGCAUUAUGAGUUUCGAUGUAUCCGUUUGCUUAAUCUCAGUCCAAUCAGUGUCACUCCUUACUAUUUUAAAUGUCUCCAUUGUCAUUGUUAUCUGUUUUGGAAUUAAGAUAAAUUUAGCAUUUGUGAAGUUUUGUACUCUCUUAAA